UUGUUAAUUGUGCCGCUAUAAACAUGCGUGUGCAAGUAUCUUUUUCGAAUAAUAACUUCUUUUUUUCUGGGUAGAUACCCAGUUGUGGGAUUGCUGGAUCAAAUGGUAGUUCUACUUUUAGGUCUUUAAGGAAUCUCCACACUGUUUUCCAUAGCAGCUGCACUAGUUUACAUUUCCACUAGCAAUGUAGAAGAAGUGUUCCCUGAUCACCUCAUUUACACCAACAUCUACUGUUUUUUGAUUUUUUUAUUAUGGCCAUUCUUUCAGGAAUAAGGUGGUAUCGCAUUGUGGUUUUGAUUUGCAUUUCCCUGAUCAUUAGUGAUGUUGAACAUUUUUUCAUGUGUUUGUUGGCCAUUUGUAUAUCUUCUUUUAAGAAUUGUCUAUUCAUGUCCUUAGCCCACUUUUUGAUGGGAUUGAUUGUUUUUUUCCUUACUGAUUUGUUUGAGUUCGUUGUAGAGUCUGGAUAUUAGUCCUUUGUCAGAUGUAUAGAUUGUGAAGAUUUUCUCCCACUCUGUGUUGUCUGUUUACUUUGACGACUGUUUUUUUUUUUUUGUCAUUCAAAAGCUAUUUUGUUGAAUUAGGUCCCAGCUAUUUAUCUUUCUUUUUAUUGCAUUUGCUUUUGGGUUUUUGGUCAUAAAAUUAUUGCCUAAGCCAAUGUCUAGAAAGGUUUUUCCAGUGUUAUCUUCUAGAGUUUUUAUAGUUUUAGGUCUUAGGUUUAAGUCUUUAAUCCAUCCUGAGUUGAUUUUUGAAUAAGGUGAGAGAUGAGGAUCCAGUUUCAUUCUGCCACAUGUGGCUAGCCAAUUUUCCCAGAACUAUUUGUUGAAAAGGGUGUCUUUUCCCCACUUUAUGCUUUUAUUUGCUUUGUCGAACAUCAGUUGGCUGUAAGCAUUUUGGUUUAUUUCUGGGUUCUUAUUCUGUUCCAUUGGUCUAUGUGCCUAUUUUUAUACCAGUACCAUGCUGUUUUGGUGACUAUGGCCUUAUAGCAUAGUUUGAAAUCAGGUAGUGUGAUGCCUGCAGAUUUGUUCUUUUUGCUUAGUCUUGCUUUGUCUAUAUGGGCUCUUUUUUGUUUCCAUAUGAAUUUUAGAAUUGUUUUUUCUAAUGCUGUGAAGAAUGAUGGUGGUAUUUUGAUGGAGAUUGCAUUGAAUUUGUAGAUUGCUUUUGGCAGUAUGGUCAUUUUUACAAUAUUGAUUCUACCCAUUUAUGAGCAUGGCAUGUGUUUCCAUUUGUUUGUGUCAUCUAUGAUUUCUUUCAGCAGUGUUUUAUAGUUUUCCUUGAUUUGAUUCUCCACUUGGUCACUGUUGGUGUACAGAAAAGCUACUGAUUUGUGUACAUUAAUCUUGUAUCCAGAAACUUUGCUGAAUUAUUUUAUCAGUUCUAGGAGCUUUCUGGAGGAGUCCUUAGGAUUUUCAAGGUAAAUGAUUAUAUCAUUAGUAAACAGGGACAGUUUGAGUUCCUCUUUACUGAUUUGGAUGCCUUUUAUUUAUUUCUCUUGUCUGAUUGCUCUGGCUAGAUCUUCCAAUACUAUGAUGAAGAGGAGUGGUGAUAUAGUGACAGUCCUUGUCUUGUUUCCAUUCUCAGAGGGAAUGCUUUCAACUUUUCCCCAUUCAGUAUUUUGUUGACUCUGGGUUUGUCAUAGAUGUCUUUUACUACAUUAAGGUAUGUCCCUUGUAUGCCAAUUUUGCUGGGGGUUUUAAUCUAAAGCGAUGCUGGAUUUUGUCAAAUGCUUUUUCUGCAUCUAUUGAGAUGAUCAUGUGAUUUUUGUUUUAAAUUCUGUUUAUAUGGUGUAUCACAUUUAUUGAGUUGCAUAUCUUUAACCACCCCUGCAUCCCUGGUAUGAAACCCACUUGAUUGUGGUGGAUUACCUUUUAGAUAUGUUGUUGGAUUCAGUUAGCUAGUAUUCUGUUAAGGACUUUAGCAUCUAUGUUCAUCAAGGAUAGUGGUCUGUAGUUUUCCUUUUUGGUUAUGUUCUCUCCUGGUUUUGGUAUUAGGGUGAUGCUGGCUUCAGAGAAUGAAUUAGGGAGGGUUCCUUCUCUAUAUAUCUUGUGGAAUAAUGUCCACAGGAUUGGUACCAGUUCUUCCUUGAAUGUAUGGUAGAAUUCUGCUGUGAAUCUGUUUGGUCCUGGACUUUUUUUAUGUUGGUAAUUUUUAAAUUAUCAUUUAAAUCUCGCUGCUUGUUAUUGGUCUCUUCAGGGUAUCUACUUCUUGCUGAUUAAGCUAGGUGUAAGAUUGUCCCCAUGGCCUGAAAGCUUAAGGAGAUAUAUAACUCCUCGCUUCUCAGGCCCAGUCCCAAGGCGCAAGGCCACUUGCGUCAGCAGUGUGUGCGGCAGCAUGCACCAGCAAGAUAGCAGAGGCAGAAAAAUAGCCAGUCAGAAGACACCUACCCCUGAAGAUUGAGAAAGAGGCCAUAUGGGUAAAACAUAGCAGUUACGUCAGACUAGGACACUUCCUGUUUACAGGAGACUGUAAAACAUUUGUCCCAUCCUCACUUGGUGCUAACGCCAUUUUAAGCCUCAGCCCGCCUGCACCCAGGCACUCAUUAAGACAGCAUGUUGCUCCACACUGCCUCGUGUUGUCUGUUGGUGCACUCUCGGGGUUCAAACUGUUACAAGAACCUUAUAUUUUGGUGCUGAAAUCUGGGAGGGGCUCAGGUCUGCAUCCCCCAUGGACCUAGCCCUCCACCCCAAAGAGCAGGCCACAGCAGCUGGACAAAGGAAGGUCCUCAGCCUCCAGUCGCCUCUCUGUGCAUGCAGUCGGUCACUGAUCUCGCCUACUGGCACAGACGUGUUUCCAGACAAUCCAGAUGAUGCUUCUGCUACAGCGACAUGACAGGAAUGUAAGAUUCUCCCGGGGCCUGAAAGCUUAAGGAGAUGAAUAACUCCUCCCUUCUCAGGCCCAGUCCCAAGGCGCAAGGGCCACUUGUGUCAGCAGUGUGCACCAGCAGCGUGCGCCGGCAAGAUAGCAGAAGCAUGAAAAGGGCCGGCCAGAAGACACCUACUCUGGCUGGAAGACACGUACCCCUGAAGAUCAAGAAAGAAGCUAUCUGGGAACAAUGUAGCAGUUACGUCAGACCAGGACACUUCCUGUUUACAGGAGACUAUAAAACCUUUGUCCUAUCAUCACUUGAUGUGGACGCCAUUUUAGGCCUCAGCCCGCCUGCACCCAGGCACUGAUUAAAACAGCAUGUUGCUCCACACUGCCUCGUGUUGUCUGUUGGCAUGCUCUUGGGGUUCAAACUGAUACAAGAACCUUACACUAGGAGGGUUGUGUUUUUCC
rnacentral:lncRNA from 1 species